UGGGGAAUAUUGGACAAUGGGCGAAAGCCUGAUCCAGCCAUGCCGCGUGUGUGAAGAAGGUCUUCGGAUUGUAAAGCACUUUAAGUUGGGAGGAAGGGCAGUAAGUUAACACCUUGCUGUUUUGACGUUACCGACAGAAUAAGCACCGGCUAACUCUGUGCCAG
rnacentral:rRNA from 1 species